rnacentral:rRNA from 1 species
UGGGGAAUAUUGCACAAUGGGCGAAAGCCUGAUGCAGCGACGCCGCGUGAGGGAUGACGGCCUUCGGGUUGUAAACCUCUUUCAGCAGGGACGAAGCGCAAGUGACGGUACCUGCAGAAGAAGCACCGGCUAACUACGUGCCAGCAGCCGCGGUGAUACGUAGGGUGCAAGCGUUGUCCGGAAUUACUGGGCGUAAAGAGUUCGUAGGCGGUUUGUCGCGUCGUUUGUGAAAACCAGCAGCUCAACUGCUGGCUUGCAGGCGAUACGGGCAGACUUGAGUACUGCAGGGGAGACUGGAAUUCCUGGUGUAGCGGUGAAAUGCGCAGAUAUCAGGAGGAACACCGGUGGCGAAGGCGGGUCUCUGGGCAGUAACUGACGCUGAGGAACGAAAGCGUGGGUAGCGAACAGGAUUAGAUACCCUGGUAGUCCACGCCGUAAACGGUGGGCGCUAGGUGUGGGUUCCUUCCACGGAAUCCGUGCCGUAGCUAACGCAUUAAGCGCCCCGCCU